CGUUGGUUUGUAACAAGGAAGUUUACGUGCACAUGAGUGUUGUGCUGGAGUAACACGCGAGGCGAGGGGAGCAACGGGAGCCCGCAGAGCUUGCCAUGCCCAGGGGAGACUGUAAAGUGACUCCCCCAGGGGAGGUGGCGCAGGCCAGUAUCCCGCUGAGGCGCGAGGCCGGAGAGGAAAGCAGAACCUGCCGGGGGAGAGGGGAGGGUGGCAGCACCCGCGUCUGCCCCAACUCCGCCAAGCUCUUACAGCAGACGUAGCGGGACGCAGGCAGCCCCCGGGCCCCCACGUGGAGCUGUGGCCCGGCGCUAAGCGGGAAGAGCUGCGCGGCCGCCGCGAGGUAAAAGGCCAAGGCUCAUCAAAUGUCUAGGGAGCGAAUCCUAUGUUCUUCAGUGGCUGCGUGCGGUUUCAGGAAGAAUACAGGAAUGGCAGUCAAAGUUUGGGGCCCUGGGAAUGUUCCAGCUGGAAACUGAUCCUGUGAUCAAAAUAAGAACUUUAAGCUGCAAAUCCUCAAUGAAGCUUCUCCUGUCUUUUUCAUGCCUUUCCUUCAUUUCAAAUGGAGUUUCCUAACUUCUCCCGAGACAAGCUUCCACUUAAUAUUCCACCAUGGAUCUCAUGAACUGGAAAGAAAAUAAAGAAAUCCUUCCACAUUCUUUUUUCUUCUGCAAUAGAGAUGAGAUGGAGGGUCACCAGCUCAUAAAAUUAAAAGAAUGAGCAGAGCUUGCCAAGAUAAUGACUGGAGAAUCAACAUCUGUAUUCCUCUAGCAACCUUGAAAUUGUUGUUCAAAUGCCCUGUCUACUGUGAAAUGCAUUAUCAGAAGCUAAUGCAUCACCCAUGUAUGUGUAUGUUUGUAAGGGUCGUGGAAAGCACUUGACUGAAUGAGCACACUGUAUACAAGUAACAGAUCAUCCCUGUAUCUUUGCUUUUGUAAUUCAAAGAAUUAACCAACAACAAGGGCAGUCAUAAUAUACAUUCUCCAUCGGCUUCUGUUCUUUGUCAGCUUCAAAGGAUCCAGAAUCAUAUAUUUUUUUUAAAAUAGCAAAUUCUUAAACAUUUUACUAUGCCUAUCCUUGAAAACUUCCUUUUCAAUGAGCCAAUGGCAACAUCCAUCUAUCUAGCAUUAUAAAGUGCUCGCCAUAGUAGUUGCAUAUGGAUUAAAAAACAGCUAUAAGCCUUGCCCUAGAUAGUGAGCAAAAUAUACUUAUAUUUGUAAAUUUUGUGGUAUAAUAAUUUCACAGGGAAGGUAGAGGAAAUAAAGGUAUGACAUUUUAGGGAAAAAUUAAAAAGGACCUAUUUUAAAGUUGUUUAAUCUCAAAACAAGUUUACUCAUUUUAUUUAAAAAACGAAUGACUUUUUACUAAGACUUGUAUAUAAAAACUUACAAGAAUGAGGAGGUUUUUUUAAAAUCUGGAGUUAUAAAAUGGAUCAACUACACUAACAAACCAGACUUGAGACUAGAGCCCUGGCCUCACAGCUCCAAAAAUCACAGGUAUCUAACAUUACAACUACAGGAACAGCUACCCACCACCAAUGGAUGCUUAUGUUCUUUGUAAGCUAUUACCAGCCAUUAGAAAGAUACAUGCUCAGACACACACACACACACACACACACCAAUCCAGUAAAGCAUUAAAUUACAUGCAUAACUAACCAUGAGUAGUCCAAUUGAUUUCACUGGAAUAACUUAUUUACUUAAAGAUAUGGAUGUGUUUAGUGGUUGCUGCCUUAGGGCCAAAGCACAUCCCUACAUAACUCAUACUGACUUCAGUGGAUGUAACUCUCACUGAAAUUAAUGGAUAGUAGGACUGUCUCUAAAAGCACCUGCAACAACAACAAAAAAUCACAAAUAACUUUGCUUAAUUAAAUUUUCUCUUAAUAUAUCAAAUGCACAUUUUUUUCAAGGAGUAGUAGCUAUAUGGAACGUUUAAAGUAUACAAACAAGCUAUUUUUAAGUUAGAGGGAAACAAAGAAAUGCUACACAAAAACCAUUUUCAGGACACUUUUUUUUUAAAUGACUUGUAAUUCUGAAACGGUUGAUUCAUUUUCUUAAAUCAUUGCAGAAACAUUCUCCCUUUACAUUACUAGAAACUGUCUGCAGAGUAAAUUUGGCAACAUUCAGGCCAAAUGUAUUUUCCAAAAGUUUUAGGUGAACUAAAAUAAUACUUUAUAACAGAUGCGGAUUCUAACUAAGUGUGAAGGGUUUACUACCUAUCUGAUCUGUAUCUAUCCACGCACAUGCACACACAAACGACAAAACAUUUGUUACACUGAUGCAGAAUGAUAAAAAAUGUACUUCACUUCCAGGGCUUCAUAUGCCAUCUGUUUUAUUCUGUCAAAAUUAUAAACACACUUAUCUUUUGAGAAAACCUUCGGGUACAAGUCACUGAACUAUUCAGGCUAAAGCAGUACUUGAAGUAUUUGAAAAUAAUGACUCCCCCUCUCAGCCAUCCCCCUCUUCCUAAAUCCCCCUAAUUUCUAGAGAAGUGAUGUAUAGCAUACCCACCAAUAUGCUCAUCCCUUCAGUGCAAGCACUGAGAUGCAAAACUGUUUUGUGUAAGAUGUGUACACAAUGUAGUUAAUAUAAUAAUCAACAUAACAUCACAUUUAAUAUUCGCAACUCCGGUUGUAAAUUGAAGAAAUCAUGACAAAUGAUUGAUAUCUUAGCAGUGUACAGCAGUGUCAUAUAUUUGGUAUCUAAAUUAGUAUGGUGCAAUGAGCUCCUUGGAGCAUAAUUCCAUAUAUUAGAAUGCUACAAUGCUGAUUUUAGGGUAGUAAAUACUCCUCUUCAAACUUUUGGCAGCAAAAUACAAAAUACUGCUUUGGCUAUUUUCUCUUAAUAUUCAGUGCUGCAAUAUUUAGAAAUUAAAAUGAAAGGUAUAGUACAUUUCCUAUUUAUUUUAAAUGGCUCUGAAGUUUUUUUUAAUGAUUUUUAUAUUUAUUCAUAUAUUUAUGUUUAAUAAACGUCAUUUAAAUUAAUGGUGUACGAUACAGAAACCAAAACAACUUAAAAUGUAAUAAGAUUAAGUCUAUGUUAAUAAUAAACUGACAAAUAUCAAUACAUUAUACAUUUUUAACAAAGCAUUUAAAGAUGUUCCAUAACAGGAUUUUAUAAAACUGAAACUUAGUAGUUUAGAUUCAAAGAGUAAGUGGGUAGGGGAGGCAGUCGAAAAUAAGAGGGGAAAAAAAAAAGAAAUACUUACCCUAAAAAGGCUCCUUCUACUGCAAAAAACACAUUCAUUUUUCACAGGCUGGACGCAUAAACCUAUAAACUACAGUUACUCCAAUAAAUCAAUUAUUCAUUUUCCAAAUGGCAAUUGGCUUAAGGCUGCUUUCAAGCAUUUUACAUAUAGAAAUGCAUCAUGCUGUUGCCAGAAAUACAUCUGCAAAGUGAGCUAAGUGUGCCCAGUUCAGAGAGUGCACUCCUGUGAUUAUUAAUUCAUUCCCCAAGAAGCAGUAUAACUGGUUACUGUCUCAGAGGUGUUUAACACAGUAUUAACAAGUGACUAAGAGCCAUCCUCUUAUUCCCAUUUUAAAACUGCAGUUUUGAUACCAUACCUGGCAACCUGCCAUCACUGCAGGCCUCAAAGUGGUAAAGGGCUUAAAAAGGGAAGAAUUUUCCCAAAAGAAUUUCUUUCAAGUCCGCUGCUCCACAGCAUCUUCAAUAUUCUCAAGGUAUGCAUGUUUAUUCCAAUGCCAGUUUCACAUUCCCCCAUGCCAGAAAGCUUUAGAAAUCUAAAACCACAUAUUCAUUUUUUUUUAAAUUUAAGAAUCCUCAUGCCUUUCUUUUUAUGAACUUUCUGUCAAGGAACUGCCAAUUGUCAAAUUAUUUGCCUGAGGUAUUAACUUGAAUUGACUGUAUAAACUGCAGAAAGAACAGAGGAAGAUGACUUCUUAAAAUACUGACGCAGAAAUGAAUGACAAUCUCAUUUCUUCAGAUAUUUUGCAUACUGACAUCACUAGUUUAUAUUGAAAUUAGAAGUACGGCAAAAUGGGGGGAGGGAGGAGAGAGAGAAGCUGAAGCACAAUCUUAUUUUCUCCUAUCAGGAAAUGAAAGAACUAAUUAAAUAUUUUAUGACCACAUGUAAUAAUAUAAGGAUUUAAAAACAAAGUUAAACUUUCUGUGA